rnacentral:misc_RNA from 1 species
UCAUGUAAUAGCUCAGGAAGCUUCCGACGGGUCAACUGAGCAUCCCGAGUUUCCAGUUCCAUCUCGGCAGCUCGUCUGUCCUCCAUAAUCUGAUCCAAAUCCCUCUCGUCCUCUAAAGAAUCGUCGAGGCCCAAGGACUCGUACUGGUCAUGCUCGUCCAUCCUCCGAUAAUCAUCCAAGAAGUUGUCGUGGUAGAGAUCCUCUCCUUCCUCUUCUUCAUCGGGGUCAGGCUCGUCGGGAAGGAUAUGAGGAUCAACCGCCGCUUCAUCCUCAUCGGGGUAGUUGUCGGAAGUUUGACUGAGAUGAGGAAGCUGGUCUGUUUCGAAACCGGCGGAGGUGGUGGGGGAAUCAGGCGUCGAAGGCGUAUUGCCGGAGGAGUGGCCAUCGGGAGUUCCUCCAGCCAUUUCUCAGGGAAAGGGAGAGGGAGAAGAGAGAAAAUGG